UUUAUAUAAAGCAUCUAAGAGGGAUUUAGGUGUAUUUUCCAAUUCCAAAGAAGAAAGACUUUAGAGUUUUCUCUUCUUCAUCAAAUCAACGUGCAUCUUCAUAAUUUUUAGUGUCUGCGUCUGCUUCAUUCACUUCAAUCAAAGCACAGCCAUGACAGAUUCGUCGGGGACAACACUAAUGGAUCUGAUAACGUCAGACCCAUCAUCCACCUCAACUUCAUCACAGUCGACGACUGCUCCACCACUGAUAAUGCCUCAACAGUCGGCGCCGCCGCAUUCCGCAUCCACAGAUCGGAAGAAGAAGGGAACAUUGAUGCAGAUCCAAAGUGAUACUAUUUCUGCUGCUAAGGCUGUUCGUGCCAACAUUAUGCCUCAGAAACAAAAGAAAAAGCCAGUUUCUUAUGCACAACUUGCAAGGAGCAUCCACGAGCUAGCAGCCACGUCUGAUCAAAAAAGUUCUCAGAGGCAAUUGGUUCAUCAUGUUUUCCCAAAAUUGGCAGUAUACAAUUCUGUUGAUCCUUCUCUAGCACCUUCUCUUCUUAUGCUUGAUCAACAGUGCGAGGAUCGAACUGUUCUGCGUUAUGUCUAUUAUUACUUGGCCCGAAUUCUCUCAGAUAGUGGUUCGCAAGGUGUAAGCUCAGGUGGUGGUAUUCCUACACCAAACUGGGAUGCUUUAGCUGAUAUUGAUGCAGUUGGAGGGGUGACAAGAGCUGACGUGGUACCUAGAAUAGUAGAUCGGUUAACAUCAGAGGCCUUAAAUGAAGAUGUUGAGUUUCAUGCACGACGUCUUCAAGCACUAAAGGCUCUUACAUAUGCACCUUCUAGCAGCCCUGAGAUAACACAGAAGUUGUAUGAAAUCGUGUUUGGCAUUCUAGAUAAGGUUGCUGAUACACCACAAAAACGCAAGAAGGGCAUCCUUGGGACCAAAGGAGUUGAUAAGGAGUCUACGAUUCGGAGUAAUUUGCAAUAUGCUGCAUUGAGUGCGUUGAGAAGACUUCCCUUGGAUCCAGGGAAUCCAGCUUUCCUUCAUCGUGCUGUACAAGGAGUCUCAUUUGCUGAUCCAGUUGCUGUGAGGCAUUCUUUAGAAAUUCUCUCCGAUUUAGCCACAAGUGAUCCAUAUGCAGUUGCAAUGGCAUUAGGGAAGCUUGUGCAGCCCGGUGGGGCUCUACAAGAUGUACUCCAUAUGCAUGAUGUUCUUGCUAGAGUUGCACUUGCCAGAUUGUGCCACAGUAUAUCCCGAGCUCGGUCACUAGAAGAAAGGCCAGACAUUAAGACUCAGUUCAAUUCAGUGCUGUAUCAGCUACUUCUUGAUCCUAGUGAAAGAGUUUGUUUUGAGGCUAUCCUUUGUGUGCUGGGUAAAGUUGAUAAUGCUGAGAGGACUGAGGAACGAGCUGCUGGAUGGUACAGACUGACCAGAGAAAUUCUCAAGCUUCCAGAAGCACCUUCAGCUAAAGACUCAAAUUCCGAAUCAAAGGAUGGAGCUCCUUCAAAGUCCUCCAAAGACAAGUCUUCAAAGACAAGGCGUCCUCAACCUUUGAUCAAACUUGUGAUGAGGAGGUUAGAGAGUUCUUUCCGCAGUUUCUCUCGACCUGUACUUCAUUCAGCCGCACGGGUGGUGCAAGAAAUGGGAAAAAGUCGUGCAGCAGCUUUCGCUUUGGGCUUACAAGAUAUUGAUGAAGGAGCUUAUGUUAAAACAGUUCCAGAAAAUAAUGACUCAUAUGAUCAGGAUCAUAAUGAAACCUCUCACCCUGAAGGUAUACGUCGAGUUUCCUCAUUAUCUAAUACCAAUGCUGCCAAGGACACGAUUGCAAGUUUAUUGGCCUCCUUAAUGGAGGUGGUGCGGACAACUGUUGCAUGUGAAUGUGUUUAUGUUCGCGCAAUGGUAAUAAAAGCACUAAUAUGGAUGCAAAGCCCUCACGAGUCCUUUGAUGAAUUAGAAUCCAUCAUCGCAUCAGAACUUACAGAUCCAGCUUGGCCAGCACCAUUAGUAAAUGAUAUAUUGCUGACACUUCAUGCUCGUUUCAAGGCUACUCCUGAUAUGGCAGUAACCCUUCUAGAGAUCGCCAGAAUUUUUGCCACCAAAGUUCCCGGAAAGAUAGAUGCAGAUGUGCUACAACUACUAUGGAAAACCUGUCUAGUUGGAGCUGGUCCAGAUGGAAAACACACCGCACUGGAAGCAGUUACUAUAGUUCUGGAUUUGCCUCCUCCGCAACCUGGCUCAAUGUCUGGACUUACCUCAGUUGACAGUGUAUCUGCUUCUGACCCAAAGUCUGCGCUGGCAUUGCAGAGAAUGGUCCAAGCAGCAGUUUGGUUCCUUGGGGAAAAUGCAAAUUAUGCUGCCUCUGAGUAUGCUUGGGAGUCAGCAACCCCUCCAGGUACAGCGUUGAUGAUGUUAGAUGCAGAUAAGAUGGUUGCUGCUGCCAGUUCUCGUAAUCCUACUCUGGCUGGUGCUCUGACUAGGCUCCAACGGUGUGCUUUCAAUGGAAGCUGGGAGGUUCGUAUAAUUGCGUCCCAGGCUCUUACAACUAUUGCAAUUCGAUCUGGCGAGCCAUAUAGGUUACAGAUUUAUGAAUUUUUACAUGCCUUAGUCCAGGGUGGUGUACAGUCUCAGUUCUCAGAUAUGCAUAUUAGCAAUGGAGAGGACCAGGGAUCCAGUGGCACUGGCCUUGGAUCUUUAAUUGGUCCUAUGUUGAAGGUCCUUGAUGGAAUGUAUUCUGCGCAGGAUGAAUUAAUAAAAGAUAUGCGCAAUCAUGAUAAUGCAAAAAAAGAAUGGACGGAUGAGGAACUAAAGAAAUUAUAUGAAACUCAUGAGAGGCUCUUGGAUCUCGUUUCUCUGUUCUGUUAUGUUCCAAGAUCAAAGUAUCUUCCUUUAGGGCCAACAAGCGCAAAGCUAAUCGAUGUCUAUCGCACUCGGCAUAAUAUAAGUGCGUCAACUGGACUCAGCGAUCCGGCUGUAGCCACGGGCAUCUCUGAUCUUAUGUAUGAAUCUACUAAUACAAAAGCUGCUGAGCCUGAAUCAAUUGAUGAUGACCUUGUGAACUUCUGGGCUGCAAAUCUUGGUGAUGAUAGCUUGAACAAUGCACCUGCAAUUAACAGGGUCAACGAGUUUCUUGCCGGUGCUGGUACUGAUGCUCCUGAUGUUGAGGAGGAGAAUAUUAUUUCUAGACCUUCCAUGAGUUAUGAUGAUAUGUGGGCAAAGACUCUCUUAGAAUCUUCGGAAAUGGAGGAAGAUGAUGGACGAUCGUCAGGGUCUUCCUCCCCAGACUCAGUAGGGUCAGUCGAGACGUCUAUAUCGUCCCACUUUGGUGGAAUGAAUUAUCCAUCGUUAUUUAGUUCUAAACCAUCUACACAAUCCAAGGGGAAAUCUGGUGGGAGCCGAUAUAAUAAUAAUUCCUACAGUGGCUCCUCAUAUGAUGGUCUGGGCUCCCUGAUAAGAGAAGAGCCUCCUCCAUAUUCAUCACCUAUAAGAGAAAGAUAUGAGUCAUUUGAGAAUCCCUUGGCUGGGUCUGAUUCUCACAGUUUUGGAUCCCAUGAAGAGGAACGAGUUUCUUCUAGCAACCCACAGUCUGGUACAGCACUUUAUGACUUCACAGCUGGUGGAGAUGACGAGCUUAAUCUGACAGCAGGGGAAGAGUUGGAAAUUGAGUAUGAAGUAGAUGGCUGGUUCUACGUCAAGAAAAAACGUCCUGGAAGAGAUGGGAAAAUGGCCGGCCUUGUCCCUGUACUCUAUGUCAGUCAAUCUUGAAAGCAUAGUAGUUGUUACCACAAUAUCCCGUUAGUCAAAACUUGGUUUGCACAAAUUGUUGAAGCAACUAUGGGCAUGUAGAGAUUUUUUAUCAAUGCACUGCUCAAUGGGUUCUGCUGUAAUCAGCUGAGUUAGAUGGACAUGAAUUAGGAAAUAUGCUCAUGUAUUUAUCCGAGAAGAUUCUGUUUCUCCGACAUUGUAGCUGAUGAUCCGAUGGAUAUGACUUUAUACUUGGUUCUGCUCGUUGAAGGGUUUGUGGCCAAUUUGCAGGGAAGGCUUGGAUCAUUUCUCCAAGUGUGGGUAUGUCCUCAAGAUCCGAUGAUGAUGCCUUUUCUCACUCUACCUAUGUGACUUGCUAUAGUCUAAAAACAUUUGUUUCACUCUUAUUGUUCAAGACAUUGUUGUAAGCCUUAAAUGUCAAAUAUACAUUUGUGUGAGGGCUAUGCUUGAAUUGUUCUAUUCCGACUUAGAUGGUUUUAUAUGAGACAUAUCUAUUAGACUUUAUGUUGAA